GGGGAAUAUUGCACAAUGGGGGAAACCCUGAUGCAGCGACGCCGCGUGAGUGAAGAAGUGUUUCGGCACGUAAAGCUCUGUCAGCAGGGAAGAAAAUGACGGUACCUGACCAAGAAGCCCCGGCUAACUACGUGCCAGCAGCCGCGGUAAUACGUAGGGGGCAAGCGUUAUCCGGAUUUACUGGGUGUAAAGGGAGCGCAGACGGCAGCGCAAGUCCGGGGUGAAAGCCCGCGGCCCAACCGCGGGACUGCCCUGGAAACUGUGCGGCUGGAGUGCCGGAGAGGUAAGCGGAAUUCCUAGUGUAGCGGUGAAAUGCGUAGAUAUUAGGAGGAACACCGGUGGCGAAGGCGGCCAACUGGGCUUUAACUGACGCUGAGGCUCGAAAGUGUGGGGAGCAAACAG
rnacentral:rRNA from 1 species